UGGUGGUGCUGAGGGUGACUGAGAGAGGAGGAAGAGUGAAGAGCCUUGGGAUGUCACCACGGAGCACCUGUGACUGCUCCUGCCCUCUCUUUAGCAGCCCAGAGUCUUCUAGGAUGUGAGCAUGUAGCGCCUGUCUCUGCCGGUGACUCCUGGCUCCCUAGAAGGCCCAGAGAGCCCUGUGAUGUCACCAUGGAAGCCAUGUGAGUGCAGCCUUGGACACUCUCGGAAUAUCACCGCAGGGCCUGUGAGUGCCUGUGACAUUACAGCUCUUUAGCAGCAUGGAGUCUUCUAGGAUGACAGUGUGGAAGCCCUGUGAGUGCCUGUGACAUCACAGCUGCUUAGCAGCCUGGAGACACAUGGGAUGUUGCCACUGAGUCCCUGUGACAGCCUUGAGGAGCUUGGAGACCUCUGGGAUGUCACCAUAGAACCUCAGUGAGUGCCAGUGCCAAAUGGGCUCCUUAGCAGGUUGAGACACCUCUGUUGUCGUCAUGGACACCAAUGACUGUCUGUGACCUCGCAAGUCUUUGGAAGAUGAAAGAGCUCUGGGAUGUCACCGUGGAUGCCCUGUGCCUGUUUGUGAUCUCUACUUCUGAGCAGGCUGGAGACAGCUCUGGUGUCUGGGAGACUGGAGUGGGUGGUGGUGGUUCAGGGAGGUGAGGGUGGGGGAAGGAACAUGUGGCAGGGCUCUCUGGGAGCCGCUCAGGCACCGAGUCAGCAGGGACAGCACCAGAACGCAGGCCCGGGAAACACUCAUGUCCCCAUUGGCCAAGUCCUGUCACAGGAAGCAGGUCUGCCCUCCACUGGGAUGGGAGGCCACAUCACCCCACUGGAACAGGGGACCAGGUGUACCCUGUGUCCCCAGCAUGCCAAGUCUGGACACGGAAGGCCAGGUCUACCCACUGGGGUCUCAGACAUGGUCUGCCUGCCACCAGCGUGGGAGGCCUUCCCUCCUCUACCUGUGAGACCAGGUCUGCUCACCAAAACUCAGAGUGAUGCUAUUUCACUGGCAGCUAGGAUGCCAGCAGGGGGUCAUCCCACACUUUUGAGAGUGCACCAGGCUCAACAGGGUCUUCUUCCCCUGCUGAUUCUGCCAAGCCUGUUCCUUUGGCUGUGUUUUUCACUGGAUAGUAGGUAGGGACAGUGGGAAUCUUGUUCAUUCAUUUAUUAAUUCCUGUCACUAAUUAGAUGAUGAGGCAUUUGGCUAUUUACUGAGCAUUUAUUUUUUUAUAUGUUCCUUUUCUGGGUCAAGGUGGCCCAUCCACCUUGGUCCAAAUCAGUAGAAUUUAGCUUUCAGUGUGGGUGAAACGCAAUGCUACAUCCUUGGAAGAAUUGUGUCAUUCCCACUGUCCCUAUGUACCAUCCAGCUUUUAACUUUUUUUGUUUUUUUUUUUUAAUUUGCAUAAGCAAUAAUAACUCUACACAGCCGAGCCAGCCUUGUUUCCAAACAUCUGAACAAUAUCCACUGAGGUAAAGAGUGCUCUGGAGGCCAGCACCAUGGCAGUCUUCCCCUGCCUUGUUUUGGAGAGACCUAGGGCCUGUAGGAGCUCACUGUUUCCAUAGAACCACUUGGGAGAGUCCAGUGGGAAAGUUUGCAAACCUGAUAUACUCUGCAUUGGUGAGGUCCUGAAUUUGUUUGUAAAAAUGUUGAUAUUUCCUCACUGUAGUUGAUUGACUCUGGCUGGGUGCCAAGUGCCCACUCAGUCACUCUUAUCACUCUCUUUCCCAAUGGGACAGGGCACAGAAUAAGAUGAAGCAAAACCAGCAGGGUGAGCUAAGGCAGUUUUAUUACAGUAAAAGAAAGAAAGAAGCAAAGAUUUGCGCAUGCAGCAGCUAAAGAGAAUAAAAAGUCAGUCUCUGCUUCCCAUCAGCAGCGAUGUUUGGACACUUCCUGGGAAGCAGGUAUUCAGCUCAUAAAAGGAACUCAACUCAAUUCAACUCAUAAGAGUUCCUCUGGACAGCAAAGAUUGAAAACUCACGAGUACCCCCCUUCCUUCUCUCUCCCUUAGCUUAGGAGCCCUCUCUCCUGACCUAAUGCCAUGUGGUAUGGAAUAUCCUUUUGGCUAAUUUGGGUCAGCUGGACUGGUUGUGUCCUCUCCCAAGAUCUUGCCUACUCCCAUCCCCUUUGGUGGGGGAAGGAAUGUCAGAGGGGCAGCACUGCUCAGCAGUAGCCAAAACACUGGUCUGUUAUCAAAACCCAUCCAGCUACCAGUGCAAAGCACAGCACUGUAAGGGCUGUGAACUUUACCUCGGUCAGACCCAAUACAAUCUCCACCCCAGUUCCAUACCAUUUGUGUCAUGCUUGGAUCCCAUAUAGUCUAUAUACUCUCAUUACUAGAAUCCUUAAGCCGUCUCUAUACCAAACAUAUGUUUUAUUAGCUACUAUCACCUGUCCUUUCACAUCCCUCCAGGUGGUCUCCAUCCCAGUAGGGUGUGGGGUCAGGACAGGAGAAAUAGUACACCUGAUGGUUGGGCACUGGCAUCAUCCCUGUUCAUCACUGCCUUUUUCUUGCUCCUUGCCAAAAUUCAUUCUUCGUCAGUUCAUGUCCCUCCUGCUACUUUACCUCCUGUAACAUACAACUUAUGCUAUAGGUUAUUCUUGCCCUAAGGUUAAAUCUCCUUGAAGUACACACCAGGUCUCCCCAUCCUCCCAAAUCACCCACCAAGUACACCCAGAUCCUUGGGCAAAGACGAUCCCACAAAUGGGUUUUCAUUUUUCCAUGGGUGAAGAAAUCCACACUGACUUCCCUGGCCACUUCCCUAUGUGUAAUGCAGGAACCUUGUCUCCUUCCACAAUGUCUAAGGGCUUGGUUUAGGCGAGAGCAGGGUGGUAAGCAGAUCUCCUAGUAUUGACUAGCCAAGUGGCUUCUGCCAAAUUUGCAUCCCAGUGCUUCCAUGUCUCAUUACCUAACACCCUGAACAUAGUUUUUAGCAGCCCAUUAUAUCUUUUAAUCUUCCCAGAGGCCUGUGGGUGAUAGGGAAUGUGAUAUAUCCACUUAGAGCCAUGCCUCUUUGCCCAGGAGUUUGUAAGAUUAUUGUGAAAAUGAGUCCUACUGUCUGACUCAAUUCUAGCUGAGGUUCCAUGUCACCACAAAAUGUGUCUUUCAGGACCUGAAAUUGUUCUGGGCAGUGGAAUGGUUUACUGGGUAUGUUUCCAGCCAGCCAGCUGUGGUCUCUGUCAUGGUGAGGAUAUAACUCUUGCCUUGGUAUGUUGGUGCAAUGGCCCAAUGUAAUCAGUUUGCCAGGCUUCACCAUACUGGAAACCCAGUCACUGCCCUCCACUCCAAAGAUGCUUCACUCGUGUGGUUUGCUUGAUGGCAGUGCAUUGUUUCACACUGAUGGACUUUGUGGUCAGGUCCACCCCUUUGUCAAGACCCCAUCUUUAUGUUGCAUCCUUUCUAAGAUGCCCUGAUGUUUCAUGGGCCCAUUGGGGUGUAAAUAGCUCACCCUUUUUUUCCCAGUCUAGGUCCAUCUGAGCUAUUGCAAUUUUGGUGGCCUCAUCUGUCUGUCAUUGUUUUGAUCCUCCUCAGUGAAGGAUCAUAGCUCAGCCAGGGACUUGUUUAUGGAACUGAACUGGGUUUCUUAUUUACAGCCAAAUUAAUUGCCCAGUACAAGACAGCUUGUACUGUAACACCACACUGGUCGUAAUGGGGCUGUUGAAGGGUGAGCAGGUUCUGCUGAUUACUCCUUGGCUCUCCAGUUGUCGAGUUAGUUCUUGGGUAGGAGUUACAGAGUCUUGGUUUGUGUGAUACUGCUGCCAGUGCACUGUCCUGGUAGCAGUUGGUACUUACGGGUCUUGCACCUGCAGCAGUCCUACAAUGAAGGGAUCCUCUGAGAGGCCAGGCAGGGUGGAUAACUCUUUGAUCUUCUCUGUAUUCACUGUAGCUACACCAAAAGCCCAUCGAUACUCUUUUGAAUCCUUGAAGUACCCUCUCCUGAGGUAGUUGAUGCCAAGGAUACACAUGGCCUCUGAGCCAGUCACAAUGGGGUGCUUUUGCCAUCUGUCCCCUGUUAAGCUCACCUCAGUCUCUAUUACAGACAACUCCUGGCAUCCCUCUGUCACUCCAGAGUUCGAAUAGGUUCUACACUCUUGUGCCUUGGUGGCGUCAGUGUACACUGUGCACUGGUAUCUACUAAAGUUUUGUACUUCUGUGGAUCCAAUGUGCCAGGCCAUGGAAUCCACACAGACAGUGUUUUUGGUAAGCCUGCAUAGGAGUCUCGGCUCUCGCGCCUGGAGCACCACCUCCCCCUCCUUCUCCACUGACCUUGUUUUCCCUCGCAUGUUCUUACCUCCUUCUCUAAACAAAAGCA